AUUGAACGCUGGCGGCAGGCCUAACACAUGCAAGUCGAACGAGCGGCGGACGGGUGAGUAAUGUCUGGGAAACUGCCCGAUGGAGGGGGAUAAAUACUGGAAACGGUAGCUAAUAACGCAUACCAUCGGAUGUUCCCAGAUGGGAUUAGCUUGUAGGUGGGGUAACGGCUCACCUAGGCGACGAGCACUAGCUGGUCUGAGAGGAUGACCAGCCACACUGGAACUGGGACCCGGUCCAGACUCCUACGGGAGGCAGCAGUGGGGAAUAUUGGACAAUGGGCGAAAGCCGGAUGCAGCAAGGCCGCGUGGAUGAAGAAGGCCUUCGGGUUGUAAAGUACGUUCAGCGGGGAGGCGUUACCCGCACAAGAAGCACCGGCUAACUCCGUGCCAGCAGCCGCGGUAAUAC
rnacentral:rRNA from 1 species